GGCGACGACGGGUAGCCGGCCUGAGAGGGUGACCGGCCACACUGGGACUGAGACACGGCCCAGACUCCUACGGGAGGCAGCAGUGGGGAAUAUUGCACAAUGGGCGCAAGCCUGAUGCAGCGACGCCGCGUGAGGGAUGACGGCCUUCGGGUUGUAAACCUCUUUCAGUAGGGAAGAAGCGUAAGUGACGGUACCUGCAGAAGAAGCGCCGGCUAACUACGUGCCAGCAGCCGCGGUAAUACGUAGGGCGCAAGCGUUAUCCGGAAUUAUUGGGCGUAAAGAGCUCGUAGGCGGUUUGUCGCGUCUGCUGUGAAAGACCGGGGCUCAACUCCGGUUCUGCAGUGGGUACGGGCAGACUAGAGUGCAGUAGGGGAGACUGGAAUUCCUGGUGUAGCGGUGAAAUGCGCAGAUAUCAGGAGGAACACCGAUGGCGAAGGCAGGUCUCUGGGCUGUAACUGACGCUGAGGAGCGAAAGCAUGGGGAGCGAACAGGAUUAGAUACCCUGGUAGUCCAUGCCGUAAACGUUGGGCACUAGGUGUGGGGGACAUUCCACGUUUUCCGCGCCGUAGCUAACGCAUUAAGUGCCCCGCCG
rnacentral:rRNA from 1 species